rnacentral:rRNA from 1 species
UCGUCAUAUGCUUGUCACAAAGAUUAAGCCAUGCAUGUCUAAGUAUAAACUAAUUAUACGGUGAAACUGCGAAUGGCUCAUUAAAUCAGCUAUAAUCUACUUGAUCGUACAUUUUUCUUAUUUGGAUAACCGUAGGAAAUCUAGGGCUAAUACAUGCUAAAAACGCUGACUACUGGGGGGCUUCGCAAGGGGUUCUUUUGGUUCGGAAGGCGUGAAUUUAUUAGAUUAAAAACCAAUGUGGGGUUCGCUCCACUAAAAUCCUAGACGAUUCAUGAUAACGCAUCGAAUCGCGGCUUUACGCUGCGAUGAUACAUACGAAUUUCUGCCCUAUCAACUUUCGAUGGUUGGAUAGAGGCCAACCAUGGUCGUAACGGGUAACGGAGAAUUAGGGUUCGAUUCCGGAGAUGGAGCCUGAGAGAUGGCUACAACUUCCACGGAAGGCAGCAGGCGCGCAAAUUACCCAAUCCCAAUACGGGGAGGUAGUGACAUGAAAUACCGAUGCACGGCCCUAUAGGGUCGUGAUGUUGGAAUGAGUACAAUUUAAACCCCUUAACAAGGAACAAUUG